GCUAAUCUUCAAUACCGCUUUAUACUCACGAUCUUGUAUCCACUGACUGUCUUGUUAGAUUAAUCCAAUAAAUUUCAUUCACUCCGCAUACUCAAUCCUAUAGACACCCUUUUAAUUUUUCAUAACAGACGUAACUCGAUUUCACAAAACAGUCAAGAGUAAUCAAACCCACUUCAUUAAAAAUCCCGAUUCACCAUUACAACACUUACUUCAGCAACGAUUACCUCAGUCUUUCCAAAACCCUAUGAAGAAAAAAAAACCCAAUUCUCUGUCUUCUUUUCCCGCCCGAAGCAUGAAGCUAGCUCUCUCGAUCCUUCAAAACCCCCCCAAAAAACUUCUUCUCCCCCCCUCUCAUUUCUUAACCUUAAUUCUGAAUUUCUUCAAUCCUCCAUCUUGGAUCAGGAAAUUG
rnacentral:lncRNA from 1 species